UUUUAGCAGGGAAGAAGCGAAAGUGACGGUACCUGCAGAAAAAGCGCCGGCUAACUACGUGCCAGCAGCCGCGGUAAUACGUAGGGCGCAAGCGUUAUCCGGAAUUAUUGGGCGUAAAGAGCUCGUAGGCGGUUUGUCGCGUCUGCUGUGAAAACCCGAGGCUCAACCUCGGGCCUGCAGUGGGUACGGGCAGACUAGAGUGCGGUAGGGGAGAUUGGAAUUCCUGGUGUAGCGGUGGAAUGCGCAGAUAUCAGGAGGAACACCGAUGGCGAAGGCAGAUCUCUGGGCCGUAACUGACGCUGAGGAGCGAAAGGGUGGGGAGCAAACAGGCUUAGAUACCCUGGUAGUCCACCCCGUAAACGUUGGGAACUAGUUGUGGGGUCCAUUCCACGGAUUCCGUGACGCAGCUAACGCAUUAAGUUCCCCGCCUGGGGAGUACGGCCGCAAGGCUAAAACUCAAAGGAAUUGACGGGGACCCGCACAAGCGGCGGAGCAUGCGGAUUAAUUCGAUGCAACGCGAAGAACCUUACCAAGGCUUGACAUAUACGAGAACGGGCCAGAAAUGGUCAACUCUUUGGACACUCGUAAACAGGUGGUGCAUGGUUGUCGUCAGCUCGUGUCGUGAGAUGUUGGGUUAAGUCCCGCAACGAGCGCAACCCUCGUUCUAUGUUGCCAGCACGUAAUGGUGGGAACUCAUGGGAUACUGCCGGGGUCAACUCGGAGGAAGGUGGGGAUGACGUCAAAUCAUCAUGCCCCUUAUGUCUUGGGCUUCACGCAUGCUACAAUGGCCGGUACAAAGGGCUGCAAUACCGCAAGGUGGAGCGAAUCCCAAAAAGCCGGUCCCAGUUCGGAUUGAGGUCUGCAACUCGACCUCAUGAAGUCGGAGUCGCUAGUAAUCGCAGAUCAGCAACGCUGCGGUGAAUACGUUCCCGGGUCUUGUACACACCGCCCGUCAAGUCAUGAAAGUCGGUAACACCUGAAGCCGGUGGCCCUAACCCUUGUGGAGGGAGCCG
rnacentral:rRNA from 1 species